CUGUCCUCUUAUAGGAUCAGGUCUUUUCUUCCAUGGAGCCCCGGGUGAAUCUGAACUGCCGCUCACCUUUCAGGUCUAGAAGCAACCUGCUCCCUUUGCCCUUCUGACCCCCUUGAAGGAGGUCAAGCAUCUCCAGGGCUGCUGUCUGCCCCCUCCCCUCACUGGAUUUCCUGGACAACCCCGCCUCCUCUCUGGUGGUUGUUAGUUGUCAUGGCAACCCGGAGGGCGCAGGCUGGAAGGUGCUCCACAGGGUUUCCAAGCCCAGGCCUUUCAGGGUCCUGCAAACAUGGACUGCAGACAUGUUGGGAAACAGAAGCAUCAUCAGCCUCCAGGGCUUUCCUGGGCUCAGCAAACACCACGUGGCCCAGUCACAAUGUCAUCGAGACAGGAGCCAUCCGUGGAAGCAAUGCACCAGUCCAUCCCACGUCGAUGGCGGCACCACUCCUGUUUGCUCGACUGCUGAUGGAUGCGCCGUCGUUGCUUGGCCACGCAGGUGAUUGAUUCUGUGUGAUCAUGGACCCCGCGUGAGAUAGCACCGGUCCAAGCGCCAGCAUCCCCACUUCAUUGUCCGGGGAACAUGGAUGAGUCACGCAACAAGCCCCACCUGGCUUUCUCAUUUAAGGAAGAGGCUUCCUGCGUUUUUCACCUCCGCAUCUUUGCGAGCCUCUCGAAUGAUACAAUGUUUGUCACAGGAUGCUGUAAACUCCGCCCAUUUUAACACGUGGGGCCAGAACACAACACUGUGCAUGUUUCUAGAG